AUUGAACGCUGGCGGCAGGCCUAACACAUGCAAGUCGAACGGUAACAGGAAACAGCUUGCUGAUUCGCUGACGAGGGGCGGACGGGUGAGUAAUGUCUGGGAAACUGCCUGAUGGAGGGGGAUAACUACUGGAAACGGUAGCUAAUACCGCAUAACGUCGCAAGACCAAAGAGGGGGACCUUCGGGGCUCUUGCCAUCGGAUGUGCCCAGAUGGGAUUAGCUAGUAGGUGGGGUAACGGCUCACCUAGGCGACGAUCCCUAGCUGGUCUGAGAGGAUGACCAGCCACACUGGAACUGAGACACGGUCCAGACUCCUACGGGAGGCAGCAGUGGGGAAUAUUGCACAAUGGGCGCAAGCCUGAUGCAGCCAUGCCGCGUGUAUGAAGAAGGCCUUCGGGUUGUAAAGUACUUUCAGCGGGGAUGAAGGGAGUAAAGUUAAUACCUUGGCUCAUUGACGUUACCCGCAGAAGAAGCACCGGCUAACUCCGUG
rnacentral:rRNA from 1 species